AAAAGUUUUAAGUUAAAUAAACUAAUAAUCUUCAAAAUUAUCAAUAAAAUAUACUUAUUUUAAGCUUUA
rnacentral:tRNA from 1 species